rnacentral:rRNA from 1 species
GCUUAGCCCUAAACCCAAAUAAUUACACAACAAUAUUAUUCGCCAGAGCACUACUAGCAAUAGCUUAAAACUCAAAGGACUUGGCGGUGCUUUAUAUCCCUCUAGAGGAGCCUGUUCUGUAAUCGAUAAACCCCGAUAAACCUCACCGACCCUUGCUAAUACAGCCUAUAUACCGCCAUCUUCAGCAAACCCUAAAAAGGAGCUAUAGUAAGCAAAAAUAUAGAACAUAAAAACGUUAGGUCAAGGUGUAGCCAAUGGGCCGGGAAGAAAUGGGCUACAUUUUCUAAAAUAGAACAUAUACGAAAAUUUUCGUGAAACCGAAAAUAGAAGGAGGAUUUAGUAGUAAAUUAAGAAUAGAGAGCUUAAUUGAAUUAGGCCAUGAAGCAC